GAGCUGCAGAGCACGAUCUGAGAGCAGAGAUCCUGCAGCCAGGCCACCAGGGCUCCCAGACCGGCGCCACCCUCUCCCACAGGGCUGUGUGAUCCUGGCUGCUGCAUCCCCUCUGCAGCCUUCCUCUUGUGCACUCACUCCGACAGCCUGCAGCCUUCAGAACUGAUCCUGUGGUGGGAAGCUCUUCUGAGAGCAGCGAAACCUUGUCCAGAGGCUACAUUUUUCUAUUGCUCUACAGGGCAGUCUCAUCAAGGAAGGAAAGUUUGUGCCUCUCCCAGAAGGUCAUUGAAGCGGAACAACACUGCAGGAAGACGUUUGAGUCUGCCUUCUUUUACUUAGCAUAAUGCAUUCGAG